UGCAAAGUCGAGCGAGCUUGCCUAUUGAAAUUCUUCGGGAAUGGACGAUAGAUACAAGCUAGCGGCGGAUGGGGUGAGUAACGCGUGGGUAACCCUGCCCUUAAAGUCUGGGAUACCAUUUGGAAACAGAUGCUAAUACCGGAUAAAAAGCUACUUUCGCAUGAAAGAAGUUUAAAAAGAACGGCGUAAAGCUGUCGCUAAAGGAUGGACCUGCGAUGCAUUAGCUAGUUGGUAAGGUAACGGCUUACCAAGGCGAUGAUGCAUAGCCGAGUUGAGAGACUGAUCGGCCACAUUGGGACUGAGACACGACCCAAACUCCUACGGGAGGCAGCAGUAGGGAAUCUUCCACAAUGGACGCAAGUCUGAUGGAGCAACGCCGCGUGAGUGAAGAAGGUUUUCGGAUCGUAAAGCUCUGUUGUUGGUGAAGAAGGAUAGAGGUAGUAACUGGCCUUUAUUUGACGGUAAUCAACCAGAAAGUCACGGCUAACUACGUGCCAGCAGCCGCGGUAAAU
rnacentral:rRNA from 1 species